AUAUCAAUAAGCGGAGGAAAAGAAACCAACAGGGAUUACCUCAGUAACGGCGAGUGAAGCGGUAAUAGCUCAAAUUUGAAAUCUGGCUCUUUCAGGGUCCGAGUUGUAAUUUGUAGAAGAUGCUUUGGGUGUAGCUCCGGUCUAAGUUCCUUGGAACAGGACGUUCCGAAUU
rnacentral:rRNA from 1 species